AUUGAACGCUGGCGGCAUGCCUUACACAUGCAAGUCGAACGGCAGCACGGGAGCAAUCCUGGUGGCGAGUGGCGAACGGGUGAGUAAUAUAUCGGAACGUGCCCAGUCGUGGGGAUAACGUAGCGAAAGCUACGCUAAUACCGCAUACGAUCUAUGGAUGAAAGCGGGGGAUCGCAAGACCUCGCGCGAUUGGAGCGGCCGAUAUCAGAUUAGGUAGUUGGUGAGGUAAAGGCUCACCAAGCCGACGAUCUGUAGCUGGUCUGAGAGGACGACCAGCCACACUGGGACUGAGACACGGCCCAGACUCCUACGGGAGGCAGCAGUGGGGAAUUUUGGACAAUGGGCGCAAGCCUGAUCCAGCAAUGCCGCGUGCAGGAUGAAGGCCUUCGGGUUGU
rnacentral:rRNA from 1 species